rnacentral:rRNA from 1 species
AUGGCAGAAUGCUUCAAUAAGGUGCUCAAGUGUGUACGUGCAUUACCCGUGACGGCAAUAGUUCAAUACACAUUUGACAAGAUGAAUGCAUACUUUUUAAAGUACUCAAUGGAGACUGAUAAGCAGAUUGCUGGUGAGAACAAGGAUAAGCACAAGUACAAUUUCCCACCAAAGGUUGAAGAAUGGUUGGAAUUUCAAUCACGAAAGGCAGACUCUGAAGAAGCUGUACUAUAUGACGAUAACGAGUGGAAGUAUGAGGUGAAAGAGCCCGGAGGAACCACAAACGAUGGCCGCCAACACGGAGGCCGGGCUUUCAAGGUCUCCCUAACACGGUGUGAUUGCAGCUACAUGAGGCCGUCUUUGCUUCAUCUCCCAUGCUCGCACUUGUUAAAUGCAUCCCGGGUUAGGAAUGUGGACGUCAAUCACCCUCUUACCGUGAGGGAGUCCAAGUUCUCAAUCAUGACAGUAAAGAAUACAUGGACUCCACGGUUCCAGCCAUACUUGGACCAAUCACAAUGGCCGGAGUAUCAUGGAGUUCAACUAUGGCCGGACCCG